rnacentral:tRNA from 1 species
GGGGUUGUGACUCAGUGGCAGAGUGCUUGCCUAGCAUGCAUGAGGCACUGGGUUCAAUUCCAGGAACCACA